ACUUAGCAGCCAAAAAUUGCUGGCCGUUGUCCCCAACCGCCCCAAUUUAGUUGAAUUGUUGCGGUUCCUACUACGUAAUUAACCCCCGCUCCAAAUAAUUUGACCCGAGGCGGUAUUGGGCCCUCACCGCAGCAAAUAACUUUGGGGGGGAGGGGAUUUUGCUUCACUAAAAUCCCCAAACCAAAAUUAUUUUGCGCCAUAAACCUUCAUUAUUUGGCGCGAGAACCCUUCGUUAGAGCCAAGGCACAGUCAAUCAUUGGUCUCCUUCCCCGCCUUCGUUAUCCUUCCCUCUGUCAGAUCCAACUGCGUCCGCUUCAUCAUUCGUUCCGGUCACCAGGCUCCUCCCUCAGUCGUGUAGCUCCCGUGCACGAAGGUAAAGUAGGAGGGGUCGUCCGAGUCUUCUCCUUCUGCCGUGCAUGUGUGUGACGUCGUCGGCGUCGUCCCAAGCCAUCCGUCCCUGUGUCAUCCUUGGCAGCCUUCUCCCCUUUGGCCCUACUUUGUGUUGCCGAUUGCAAUAGACUCCCCUCUCAGUUCUUCAUCGAACUAAGCUGAAAAAUUGUAGCUCUCUGAUUACAACUUUUAUGAAUAUAAUGUUUACCCAAGUAAGCCACUCUGGCGGAGCUCUGUUCCAUUAUUUGCUACUAUAAAUCUUGAAGUAGCUUCAUUGCACUUGAGCAGGUUCUCUGACAAGCGGAUAUCUCGUAGAUCUGAAAUAAAUUACCUGGGGUGUAUUCCUGCACCUGCAACUGUGACAGUUUGAUAACAUUGACUUAGACUUAUCACAGUCCUUGGAGCUAUAUUAUCCGAUAACUUCACAGCUCCUACUCCAGAAUCAAAGCUUCCUUCAGCUUACACUUGUUCUCUUCAGGCACGCUAUCAGAAUAGGUUGCAGGUUGAACUUGAAAUUGCAUCUCGGGAGGAAUUCACUCUUAUAGAAAUAGGUCUUAGGAAACUUUGGGAACAUUUGGCUCGGAAAAAGACUCAAGAAAAUCUGAAAGAGACAGGUGAGAUAGUUCAAAAUUCAAUGCUCGAAGAAGACGUUGUGCCAGAUAGUUCUGAUGAGGUUGUCUCUAAAGGACAACAACCUUCCAUCAUAACCUUUGA